rnacentral:rRNA from 1 species
AGCUCCAAUAGCGUAUAUUCAAGUUGUUGCAGUCAAAAAGCUAGUAGUUGAACUUUUUGUCUGGAUGGCUCAGUCUGAUGCUUAUGCAUGAGUACCUGAGCCAUCCGACCAUCCUUGGGUGGAACCUGUGUAGCAUUAAGUUGUCGUGUAGGGGAUGCCCAUCUUUUACUGUGAAAAGUUAGAGUGUUCAAAGCAGGAUUAUGCCUUUGAGUAUAUUAGCAUGAAAUAAUGAUAUAGGACUUUGUUACUAUUUUGUUGGUUUGUGCACUAAAGUAUUCAUUAAUAGGGAUAGUUGGGGAUAUUAGUAUUUUUAGGUCAGAGGUGCAAUUCUUGGAUUUUUUAAAGACUAACUACUGAAAAAUCAUUUAUCAAGGAUGUUUUCA